GAAAACACCGGAGUUAAGCAUCGUAGAGCCAGGUCAGUACUAAGAUGGGGGACCGCUUGGGAACACCUGGUACUGUAAG